rnacentral:tRNA from 1 species
AGGAUAAUAGUUAAAUAUAACAUUUAAUUUGCACUUAAAAAGUAUUGAAUACUUCAAUUUAUCUUA